rnacentral:rRNA from 1 species
UACAGAGGUGGCAAGCGUUGUUCGGAAUUACUGGGCGUAAAGGGCGCGUAGGCGGUCUUGUCAGUCCCUUGUGAAAUCCCCCGGCUCAACUGGGGAACUGCACGGGAAACAGCAGGGCUUGAGUUCGGGAGAGGGAAGCGGAAUUCCGGGUGUAGCGGUGAAAUGCGUAGAUAUCCGGAGGAACACCGGUGGCGAAGGCGGCUUCCUGGACCGAUACUGACGCUGAGGUGCGAAAGCGUGGGGAGCAAACAGG